rnacentral:rRNA from 1 species
AUUGAACGCUGGCGGCAGGCCUAACACAUGCAAGUCGAGCGGAUGAAGGGAGCUUGCUCCUGGAUUCAGCGGCGGACGGGUGAGUAAUGCCUAGGAAUCUGCCUGGCAGGGGGGGAUAACGUCCGGAAACGGGCGCUAAUACCGCAUACGUCCUGAGGGAGAAAGUGGGGGAGCUUCGGACCUCACGCUAUCAGAUGAGCCGGGUCGGAUUAGCUAGUUGGUGGGGUAAAGGACUAGCAAGGCGACGAUCCGUAACGGGGCUGGGAGGAUGAUGAGUCACACUGGAACUGAGACACGGUCCAGACUCCUACGGGAGGCAGCAGUGGGGAAUAUUGGACAAUGGGCGAAAGCCUGAUCCAGCCAUGCCGCGUGUGUGGAGAAGGUCUUCGGAUUGUAAAGCACUUUAAGUUGGGAGGAAGGGCAGUAAGUUAAUACCUUGCUGUUUUGACGUUACCAACAGAAUAAGCACCGGCUAACUUCGUG